AAUUAGACUUAUGUUAAAGUGUCUGCCUGCAAUGCAGGAGACCUGGGUUCGAUCCCUGAGUU
rnacentral:tRNA from 1 species